AAUAGAUACCCUGGUAGUCCACGCCGUAAACGAUGAGUGCUAAGUGUUAGGGGGUUUCCGCCCCUUAGUGCUGCAGCUAACGCAUUAAGCACUCCGCCUGGGGAGUACGGUCGCAAGACUGAAACUCAAAGGAAUUGACGGGGGCCCGCACAAGCGGUGGAGCAUGUGGUUUAAUUCGAAGCAACGCGAAGAACCUUACCAGGUCUUGACAUCCCAUUGACCACUAUGGAGACAUAGUUUUCCCUUCGGGGACAACGGUGACAGGUGGUGCAUGGUUGUCGUCAGCUCGUGUCGUGAGAUGUUGGGUUAAGUCCCGCAACGAGCGCAACCCUUGUUCUUAGUUGCCAUCAUUUAGUUGGGCACUCUAAGGAGACUGCCGGUGACAAACCGGAGGAAGGUGGGGAGUGACGUCAAAUCAUCAUGCCCCUUAUGACCUGGGCUACACACGUGCUACAAUGGACGGUACAAACGGUUGCCAACCCGUGAGGGAGAGCUAAUCCGAUAAAACCGUUCUCAGUUCGGAUUGUAGGCUGCAACUCGCCUAC
rnacentral:rRNA from 1 species